GUAGUCACGGCCGAGCGGUUAAGGCGGUGGACUAGAAAUCCAUUGGGGUCUCCCCGCCCAGGUUUGAAUCCUGCCGACUAUG
rnacentral:tRNA from 1 species